rnacentral:misc_RNA from 1 species
GAAAUGCGAUAAUUAAUGUGAAUUGCAGAAUUCAGUGAAUCAUCGAGUCUUUGAACGCACAUUGCGCCCCCUGGUAUUCCGGGGGGCAUGCCUGUCCGAGCGUCAUUGCUGCCCUCAAGCACGGAUUGUGUGUUGGGCUUCCGUCCCUGGCAACGGGGACGGGCCCAAAAGGCAGUGGCGGCACCAUGUCUGGUCCUCGAGCGUAUGGGGCCUUGUCACCCGCUCCCGUAGGUCCAGCUGGCAGCUAGCCUCGCAACCAAUCUUUUUAACCAGGUUGACCUCGGAUCAGGUAGGGAUACCCGCUGAACUUAAGC